UAGAUAUAGCUGUCCCACAUAAACCAUAAAUAGGUUUAUGUGGGACAGCUACAUCUA
rnacentral:miRNA from 1 species